UUCCGGUUGAUCCCGCCGGAGAUCACUGCUAUUGGAAUCCGGUUAAGGCAUGCGAGUCGAGAGGGUACGGCCCUCGGCAUACGGCUCAGUAACACGUGGAUAAUCUGCCCUUAGGUGGGGGAUAAUCUCGAGAAAUUGAGCAUAAUACCCCAUAGUUCUAGAUUGCUGGAAUGCUUCUAAAAUUAAAGCCCCGGCGCCUAAGGAUGAAUCUGCGGCCUAUCAGGUUGUAGUGAGUGUAACGGACUCACUAGCCGACGACGGGUACGGGUCCUGGAAGGGAGUGCCCGGAGAUGGACUCUGAGACACGAGUCCAGGCCCUACGGGGCGCAGCAGCUACGAAAACUUCACAAUGCGGGAAACCGUGAUGAGGGGAUUCCAAGUGCUAAUACUUUGUAUUAGCUGUUUACUUGUCUAAAAAACAGGUAGAGUAAGGGCUGGGUAAGACUGGUGCCAGCCGCCGCGGUAAUACCAGCAGCUCAAGUGGUGAUCGCUAUUAUUGGGCCUAAAGCGUCCGUAGCCGGUUUGGUAAACCCUUGGGUAAAUCGGGCAGCUUAACUGUCCGACUUCUGAGGAGACUGCCAGACUUGGGACCGGGAGAGGUCAGAGGUACUUCUAGGGUAGAGGUGAAAUUCUGUAAUCCUAGGAGGACCACCAGUGGCGAAGGCGUCUGACUAGAACGGGUCCGACGGUAAGGGACGAAACCCUGGGGCGCGAACCGGAUUAGAUACCCGGGUAGUCCAGGGCGUAAACGCUGCGGGCUUGGUGUUGGGGGUCCCACGAGGGCGUCCAGUGCCGGAGAGAAGUUGUUAAGCCCGCCGCCUGGGGAGUACGAUCGCAAGAUUGAAACUUAAAGGAAUUGGCGGGGAGCACAGCAACGGGUGGAGCGUGCGGUUUAAUUGGAUUCAACGCCGG
rnacentral:rRNA from 1 species